rnacentral:rRNA from 1 species
AGAGUUUGAUCAUGGCUCAGAAUCAACGCUGGCGGCGUGCCUCAGACAUGCAAGUCGAACGCGAAAGCCCCCUUCGGGGGGCAAGUAGAGUGGCGCACGGGUGAGUAACACGUAGGUAAUCUACCUUUGGAUGGGGAAUAACAACCGGAAACGGUUGCUAAUACCGCAUAAUGCAGCGGCACCUAAUGGUGACAGUUGUUAAAGCGGGGGAUCGAAAGACCUCGCGUCUGAAGAGGAGCCUGCGGCGGAUUAGCUAGUUGGUAAGGUAACGGCUUACCAAGGCGAUGAUCCGUAGCCGGCCUGAGAGGGCGGUCGGCCACACUGACACUGACAUACGGGUCAGACUCCUACGGGAGGCAGCAGUCGGGAAUUUUGGGCAAUGGGCGAAAGCCUGACCCAGCAACGCCGCGUGAAGGAUGAAAUCCUUCGGGAUGUAAACUUCGCAAGAACGGGAAGAAUAAGUAAGGGUUAAUAUCUCUUACGAUGACGGUACCGUUUGUAAGCUCCGGCUAACUCCGUGCCAGCAGCCGCGGUAAUACGGGGGGAGCAAGCGUUGUUCGGAUUUACUGGGCGUAAAGGGCGCGUAGGCGGCCACCGCAAGUCGACUGUGAAAUCUCUGGGCUUAACCCAGAACGGUCAGCCGAUACUGCGGGGCUAGAGUGCAGAAGGGGCAACUGGAAUUCUCGGUGUAGCGGUGAAAUGCGUAGAUAUCGAGAGGAACACCUGCGGCGAAGGCGGGUUGCUGGGCUGACACUGACGCUGAGGCGCGAAAGCUAGGGGAGCGAACGGGAUUAGAUACCCCCGUAGUCC